rnacentral:tRNA from 1 species
AUUCAAGUAGCUUAUAUAGAGUAUAACAUUGAAGCUGUUGUUGAGGUUGUUUAACCCUUGAAUA